CUUCGUCCGCUUGUACUUCAGAGUCGGCCUGGGUACUUGAUUCAGGAGCCUCCUUUCAUGUCACAUCUGAUCAGUCAAAGUUGGCUUCUACUACACCUGUCACAGAUGGUGCUUCAGUGCAGACAGCUGAUGGACCUUCGCACAGGGGAAGUGAUUGGGACUGGCCGUCGCCGUAGAGCCGCUCCUCGCCUCUACAUCUUGGACUCUUUGCGGCUUCCUUCCUUGGCUACAUCUCCAACGCAUGUGCUUUCAGCUACCCUUGCUUCUGUUGCGUCUUUUGCCUAGUGGCAUCAUCGUCUAGGUCAUUUGUGUGGCUCUAGAUUGUCUACUCUAAUAAAGUCAGGUUGCUUAGGUCCUUCGGUUGAGUCUGAUUUUCAUUGUAAGGGUUGUCAUCUUGGAAAACAAAUACAACUUCCAUAUUUUACUAGUGACUCUCAUUCUGUUGAACCCUUUGAUUUGGUUCACUCUGAUAUUUGGGGUCCUGCACCUUUUGUGUCAAAAGGUGGAUAUAAAUACUAUGUCAUUUUUAUUGAA